UACGUAGGGUGCGAGCGUUAAUCGGAAUUACUGGGCGUAAAGGGUGCGUAGGCGGUUGUUUAAGUUUGGUGUGAAAUCUCCCGGCUCAACUGGGAGGGUGCGCCGAAUACUGAAUGACUAGAGUGCGGGAGAGGAUAGUGGAAUUCCUGGUGUAGCGGUGAAAUGCGUAGAUAUCAGGAGGAACACCGGUGGCGAAGGCGGCUAUCUGGACAGAGUCUGGACGCUGAGGCGCGAAAGCUAGGGGAGCAAACAGG
rnacentral:rRNA from 1 species